ACUUUGGACAGAGAUACACUCCCUCUCCAUUCUCAAGAAAUGAAAAACAGUACACUAUAUAUCAUUGCAAGGUUCAAGAGCGGAAAUUGAAAUAAGACAAUGAUUCGCGCCAGAACUGCCUGUGCUCGAUUCUCAACCCAUUUCAACCUCCUUCGAACGAGACCCUUUUGCAGCAGCACCAAAGACAGCAACAACAACAAGAAGAAGAACAAGGACAACGUUGAUGGCAGCAUUGAAUCAAAUGUCAGCACUUACAACGAGUCGUAUCGUCAACUUGAUAAUCUCGACUUCAUGACUGCUGCUAAGAUCCUCUUCACUCAUCCUCCAAAGAAAAAGAAAUUUGGGAUAGAUUUCCAUCUGGUACAGCUUUUCUUUGCCUGCAUGCCUUCAUUGGCUGUAUACUUGGUGGCUCAAUAUGCUCGCUACGAAAUGAGAAAAAUGGAAGCGGAGCUGGAGGAGAAAAAGAAGCAAGAAGAAGAAGCAAAAAAGAAGCAGGAAGAAGAAGAAGAGAAAAAGAAGCAAAAAGAAGAGGAGAAAGCUAAAGAGAUGGAACUAAUUGCAACUGAACAUAAUAAGGGUGGAACUGACACAGAGCUUUUAGAGGUAAAAGUGAGACUAGGUAAACUGGAGGAGGCAGUAAAGGAAAUUGUUGUUGAAUCAAAGAAACAAUCAGCAGGCAGCAUAACUAAAAGCCAGCAAAAUGCUAGUGAACCAGGUGAAGCCAAAAGGACGUCAGAGUCAAGCAGUACUUUGGGGCAGGACAAGCUUGCAAAACAAAAAUCCACUGAACAAACACCAAGCUUUGAUCAAGGUAAAGUACGAAGUGCAGCACCAGUUUCCGAUGCUUCCCAAAAGGAUCAGAAGGGUGAGAACCAGAAACCUUCUCAAGAUGCCAAAAAAUGAUGAAAGAGCCUUUCUGAGGCAUAGGUGAUGAAGAUGUGCUAACAGUUCAAUUGCUUGUAAGGGAUGUAGAUGUGCAUAAAUUUUAUCCUUCUCUCACCAUGAGAAAAUCUUUUCCCAGUUUUUGAUAUAUGUAGCCAAAUAGUCUCACGGAGAUUAUCAGAUGACUGCUUGAGGUGUGAGGCUGUUGCAGGUGCUUCACUGCUUCUCUUGCCCCUAUGCGCGUGCACGUGUAAUCAAAAUGUGUUUAGUAUGAGGUUAGAUUAUAAGGGCUUGACUCAUGAGGAUGUGAACCUCAGAGGAAGGAGUUUAUGUUCAACUACGUACAUUAGAGGAGGAACCUUUAGCAUCAUAGAAUCUUCAAUUCUGUUUUAGUGCUGUACCUCUAUACCUUUGUGAUUUAUGAAUGACUCCAUUAGAUAUAGGCUUUAUUUGAGUUGUGAAAAUAUUAAAGGACAGGGACAAUUUUAAGAAAAAUUAUAAAAUAUAUUUGUAUAUAAGAGAG